CCUACGGGUGGCAGCAGUGGGGAAUAUUGGGCAAUGGGCGCAAGCCUGACCCAGCAACGCCGCGUGAAGGAAGAAGGCUUUCGGGUUGUAAACUUCUUUUCUCAGGGACGAAGCAAGUGCCGUUACCUGAGGAAUAAGCCACGGCUAACUAGGUGCCAGCAGCCGCGGUAAUCCGUGGGUGGCAAGCGUUAUCCGGAUUUACUGGGUGUAAAGGGCGUGUAGGCGGGACUGCAAGUCAGAUGUGACACCCACGGGCUCAACCUGUGACCUGCAUUUGAAACUGUGGUUCUUGAGUACUGGAGAGGCAGACGGAAUUCCUGGUGUAGCGGUGAAAUGCGUAGAUAUUAGGAGGAACACCAGUGGCGAAGGCGGUCUGCUGGACAGCAACUGACGCUGAGGCGCGAAAGCGUGGGGAGCAAACAGGAUUAGAUACCCGAGUAGUC
rnacentral:rRNA from 1 species